rnacentral:misc_RNA from 1 species
UGUUUGGUCACCUACAUUUGACGUUCUUCUAUUGGCCUAAGGAGCGUAUGGUUUGGCCGGACUGUUUGUUCUUAGCCUUACGAGAGGGUGCUUUGAGUUGCUAUGAGGAUGGGUAACUUAAGGGUUGUAUAGCCAACAUACUUUUGAUGGUUGUUUAACCCAUGAAGAUGAAGUAGCCAUUUGAGCUCUGCCUAUCGACUCUCCCUGCAAGUCAUGGAGCUUAAAUCUGAUGGUUCGUUGUCUUGAGGUCUUGGUGCUGCUUCUUAGAAGAUUGAGCUUUAAUGGCGAUGACCUUUUAGAUUUGCAUG